rnacentral:lncRNA from 1 species
UGCUCCCACCCCUACCCGCGCUCGCGCAGCCUCGACGGCCGGGCGUCACGCGUGGGCGGGCUGCGCACCAACUGAGCUCUCCCUGCAGCCUGCCCGCUUGGCAGGUGCGCUGCCCAGCCCGGCUUCGCCGAUUGGUUUGUCCCGGAGCCAGGUGGGAGGCCGAUCCCAUGUGCGGGGCUGGCUGCGGGGUUUGAACGCGCAAUCUGGCGGGAGAGCCCCAGGCUGCCAAGUGCCAGAGUCCCCGGAGCUCCGCGCCCUGCUUCGUCCAGCGCCUGCAGCCCCUGCGACUCCAAGCCCCACGGAGGAGCCUGACCGAGAGGAGGGGAUCUGGAGCCAUGGGGAACGCCGAGUCUGUCCCUGCAGGGUCUGCCAGCCGCCUCAGCGUCAGCCGGAGCCUGGGCAUCAGCUUCCAUCUGGAACAAUUACAGCUAAAGAAAUAAGGAAGACCUGGCUACGACUAGUGGUUCCAUUCUGUGUUGGCUGCUGCAGCAUAACCACAACCCUCUGAGUCUGAGAGUUCAUGCCAGAGCCAAAUUGCUGGUAUGAUCAACUCCCUCUUCUCUGGCUACCCUGUGACAUCUCCAAGUGCCAAGCUAGCAGUGCAAUGCCUGUAUGCACACUGGGUAUUCUGUUACCCCAGAACCCUUCCCAGACUCUCCCAAAGCAAACGUGCAAUGGAAGACUAACACAGUGGGUGCAGUGAGGAGGAGCUAUCUAGCCACAUUGUUAAUAAAAGGCCAAAUGAAAGACCUGCCA